rnacentral:rRNA from 1 species
GACGAACGCUGGCGGCGUGCUUAACACAUGCAAGUCGAACGGAAAGGCCCUGCUUUUGUGGGGUGCUCGAGUGGCGAACGGGUGAGUAAUACGUGAGUAACCUGCCCUUGACUUUGGGAUAACUUCAGGAAACUGGGGCUAAUACCGGAUAGGAGCUCCUGCUGCAUGGUGGGGGUUGGAAAGUUUCGGCGGUUGGGGAUGGACUCGCGGCUUAUCAGCUUGUUGGUGGGGUAGUGGCUUACCAAGGCUUUGACGGGUAGCCGGCCUGAGAGGGUGACCGGCCACAUUGGGACUGAGAUAAGGCCCAGACUCCUACGGGAGGCAGCAGUGGGGAAUAUUGCACAAUGGGCGGAAGCCUGAUGCAGCAACGCCGCGUGCGGGAUGACGGCCUUCGGGUUGUAAACCGCUUUCGCCUGUGACGAAGCGUGAGUGACGGUAAUGGGUAAAGAAGCACCGGCUAACUACGUG